GCCUCGGUAGUGUAAUGGAUCAGCACGGCAGACCUGAUAUCUGUAAGUGCGGGUUCGAGUCCCGACUGAGGGU
rfam:Dictyocaulus viviparus strain HannoverDv2000 D_viviparus-1.0_Cont59.10, whole genome shotgun sequence.